AUGGGCAGGGCGCCGUGCUGCGACAAGGCGAGCGUGAAGAAGGGCCCGUGGGCGGCGGAGGAGGACGCCGUGCUCAGGGCCUACGUCGCCGAGCACGGCACCGCCGGCAACUGGAUCGCGCUCCCCCGCAAGAUCGGGCUCAACAGGUGCGGCAAGAGCUGCCGGCUGCGGUGGCUCAACUACCUCCGCCCCAACAUACGGCACGGCGGCUUCACCGACGAGGAGGACCGGCUCAUAUGCAGCCUCUACGCCAGCAUCGGGAGCAGGUGGUCGACCAUCGCCGCGCAGCUGCCGGGGAGGACGGACAACGACGUCAAGAACUACUGGAACACCAAGCUCAAGAGGCGCCUGCUCGGCGGCGGCCGCCGCCCCAUCAGGUACGCGCAGCAGCCGCGCCUCCUCCUCAUGAGCCCCACGGGCGGCGCCGCCUCGACGGCGCUGGAGAGGAUGCAGCUAAGCGUGCAGCGGCGCCUCGUCGGCCUUCAAGACACCCCGGGGCUCCCCUUCUACGGCAACCUCUGGCCAGCCCAGCAGUCUCUACUCUCUCCUGCCGCUGGUUACUCCGGGUUCUGGUCUCAUAUCCAAACUAGUACCUACCCGGGCCGCCUUAACGUGCAAGAUCAUCAGCACGCCUGGGGCAGCAGCGGCGGCGGCGGCACCACGCCGAUGUCCACGAGCCCCACCGGCGAGACAGCGGUGGGCGUAGGGAGCUCGAGCUCGACACCGGCAGCGAGCUCUGUGACUUUCGACGGCGACAUGGAGGACGAGAUCGAGAUGCUGCUCCAGCAGAUAGGGUGCUUGGAGGAGGAAGACAGCCGCCUGCUGAUCGGCAGCGAGGCGGGCAGCGCUGGUUCUUGGAGCUCCUGUUCCACUCCAGGAGUGGACUCAGUGUUCCAGGGCUAUGUACAAGGGCACGGGCAGUAG
rnacentral:rRNA from 1 species